rnacentral:lncRNA from 1 species
AUUACGUGCGCGGCGCCGCCCCUGCGAGAGGACGUUGCGUGCUCGCUCGCGCCAGGCGAGUCUCCGCGUCUCCCUCGCGAACUCGGUGAAAGGAUUUGGCGCCGUUCGACAACCAGGCGGGUCCGCUCUGCAGCACGAACCCAUCUCCAGCCGCAGCUGCCGCCCGGGCCGAGGAGCAGCCGCCGCCACCAGUGGCCGAGGGAGCGGAGCCGAGGUUGAACUAGCACCUAUCGGUGAAUCGGGGCCCUCACCAUGAGUUCCUCGCCUGUUAAUGUUAAAAAGCUGAAGGUGUCGGAGCUGAAAGAGGAGCUCAAGAAGCGGCGCCUUUCCGACAAGGGCCUCAAGGCCGAGCUCAUGGAUCGACUCCAGGCCGCGCUGGACGACGAGGAGGCCGGCGGCCGCCCCGCCAUGGAGCCCGGGAACGGCAGCCUAGACCUGGGCGGGGAUUCCGCCGGGCGCUCGGGAGCAGGCCUGGAGCAGGAGGCCGCGGCUGGCGGCGACGAGGAGGAGGAAGAGGAGGAAGAAGGGAUUGCCGCGCUGGACGGCGACCAGAUGGAGCUAGGGGAGGAGAACGGGGCGGCGGGGGCGGCCGACUCGGGCCCGAUGGAGGAGGAGGAGGCCGCCUCGGAAGACGAGAACGGCGACGAUCAAGGUUUCCAGGAAGGAGAGGACGAGCUCGGAGACGAGGAGGAAGGCGCGGGCGACGAGAACGGGCACGGGGAGCAGCAGCCUCAACCGCCGGCGACGCCGCAGCAACAGCCCCCACAGCAGCGCGGGGCCGCCAAGGAGGCCGCGGGGAAGAGCAGCGGCCCCACCUCGCUGUUCGCGGUGACGGUGGCGCCGCCCGGGGCGAGGCAGGGCCAGCAGCAGGCGGGAGGUAAGAAGAAGGCGGAAGGCGGCGGAGGCGGCGGUCGCCCCGGGGCUCCGGCGGCGGGUGAGUGCUGCGUUGUACGUUGCGCGCGGCGGGAGGCCCGCGUGGGGUGGGGACCGUGCCCCAGGCCAGCCGGAGCCCCGCAGGGGGGAGGGAGCCCCGGGCGGGGGCUGCUGCGCGGUGGGGGAGGGGCAUGGGGAAUCCCGGAUUAAGCGAGAGGCCUCGGGCUCAGUGUGACGGUGGUGGCAGUGCCUCCAUUAUGUGGCUCGGGAGCCGGGGGGGAGCUGCAGCUGCCGCUGGACGGGGGGGUAGCCCUGUCGGCCCGCGGUGGCGCCGCCGCGCUGCGUGCGCGAGGUGCGGGCACAUGUCUCGGGGGGAGGGGAGAGGCCCGAGGUCCCGGGGCGGGCGCGCUUUGGCGGCUCUUCGCCGCGGUAUUGUGCAAGGAGCGCAGGGGCUCGACGUGACGUCACUUCCGGCGGGAGGAGCCGGGCGCGGAGAGUGGGGCGGAAGAUCAGUACAAUGCGGCGGCGGGGCGCGCGGGCCCGGGUAGAGUGGGGGAGGGGAGGGCGGGCCGCGCGAGCCCCGCUUGGCCCCUCCCCCCUUCCUGAACUCUCGUCGGGAUGCACGUGGGCUCCGGGCUUGGGCCGCGCUCUUUUUCUUUGGCUUUCUCGAAUUGUCUAGUAGACUGGUAAAAUUAGUAACGUCUUUAGACUGCGUCACUAAUCUCCAGUUCAAUUCCAAGCUGAUUGUUCUUUGAAUUCACAUUUGGUUCGUCGAUUAAAAGGUCCUAAAAAAAAAUAACAGGGUGAAGUCGAGGACUUCUGCGCCUUGAAACAGAAAAGGUGGUGGGUUAUUGUAUUGUUUUGAUUCUAUUUUUAAGAAAUUUUUUGGCCACUUGGCAUCUCAAAGAGUGUUGUGUGUUAUAGGAGACGGCAAAACAGAACAGAAAGGCGGAGAUAAAAAGAGAGGUGUUAAAAGACCUCGAGAAGAUCAUGGCCGAGGAUAUUUUGAGUACAUUGAAGAAAACAAGUACAGCAGGUACAGGAUACGAACCUAGUUUGGCUUGUACCCAUUCUUCAUGCUUUGGUAGGAAAAGCUAUAUCAGGAGACAAUUCUGUCUUUCAGAGCCAAGUCUCCUCAGCCACCUGUUGAAGAAGAAGAUGAGCACUUCGAUGACACAGUGGUUUGUCUUGAUACUUGUAAGUGAAGCUGAUACUCUUAUCCCCCCUGCCCCCCAGUUAUUGAAUACAGUGGUUUUUUUGGUUCCAAAAUGUUAGAAAACUUAAUGUUGAACUUAAGUGAAGAAAGCUUAGGUUAGUGUUUUCUAAAGGCAGGAAGAUAAUGGUUUUUAUUUUGGAUUCUGGUAGUAUUUAAUGUUUAGUACGACUGCACUUUCAUUGAUAAUUUAAUAGGUUGUAGCAAUUUGAUAACAUUUUAUGACUUAAACUCAUUCUUAAUGCCAAUUUUUGACUAACAGAAAAUUGUAAAACUACUUAUCACUGUCCUUAUAAGGCUUCUACGAUAAUGUCUUUUGUGUGUGGAAUUAUAUUAAGUGAGCUAUUUGGGUUUGUUAAAUAUUUACUAAUGACUUUUCCCAUUAGCACACAAGUAUAUUCCCUAUUCUAAAAGAUUGUAAUAUUACUUUUUCAAUAACUGCUCUUUUGUUCUCAAUUCCAGUUCAGUAGCUGCUGCUUUAACAUAAGUUGAUUUCUUCCAAAGACCUGGGGCAGCAGCAGUGGGCUAUCACUGGGCCACUAGCUUUCUUCAGCAGCGAAUGGUAUCCACGGCAGCGCUGUAAAUACUGCUACUUUACCCAGUUGGGCUGCAAUUGAGUAUGAGGAAGUAUUGCAAACCUCUUAAGUGGGCCUUGGCUGUCAGACUUGCAUUUUUUAAUUAUAAAAAAAUUAUUGAUUUAGUGUUUGGUCAGAAUGCACAACUCUUCGAGAUUAAUAGAAUGAAGGGUAGAAAUAAAUUCUUGAGGAGGAGGAGGUAAGGUAAUAACCUGUUCUGGUAGCUAAGAGGAGUUGAAGCUUAGAUUUUUCAUGUUUCCUUGUACGAUUGUGGAUUGUGUUAAGUGUGAAACUUGAUUUCUUUUUGAAUACCCCUUACAGGUAGUUGAGUCUUAAAACUGCAAAGUAGUUGAAUUGAAAGUUUUAUGUCAAAUUCAGUUGCUUAAAUACAAAAUUGGUAGGAAUUGGCAAGGUGCUGAAGCAGUGAUUCAGAAGGGGUAAUGUCAUUGCAUAGGAAUUGGGUUUUUAUUGCCUAUUACCAGGAGUAUUAGUUUAUUAAGGGUGAUAAUGGGUGUAGACACAAUUUGUUUAAUUAUAUAUCAAUGAUGAUCAGAAAUUUUAGGAGCAAAGCUUAUUUAAGGAGAAUUCUAAACUGAUCAGAUUGAUCAAUUCUAAAUUCUAAAUUGAUCAGAUUAAACUCUGAUCAAUUAAAACUAAAUAAAACUGCUUUCUAAAUUGAGGUUAGUUGUCUUGUCAAGGGAGAACUCUUGAGAAAAUACAUGUUAAUGAGCUAGUGACCCAAAGAUAGCUAGGUAAAAGACGAUUUGGAUAAUCCAGGAAGUGGUUAAUCUCCAAUUGUUAUAACUGGAAAGCUUCUGCAAGGGGACCUAAAAUGCUGUAGUAAACCUUUAGAUGACCAGGUUAGUGGGUUCAGGCUGUCUGAUGCACAAGUUGUAGAAAAGAAUUAAGGACCUGGAACCGGGGUGUUAAGUUACAAAGUGCAGGAUCAACAGCUCAUACUCUUUAUUUUAAAACAUUGGUGGUGGCCUCCCUUCAGUUUUAUUGUGGCACUGGUAAAUUCUACCUGGUUCUGGCAUGCUUCACUUUGAUUUCCUGCUAUCCUCUACUGCUUGCCUCUAAAUCAAGGUAAAGAGCAGAGCAGGUAUGUAUUGUCACAUUGUCUCAAUUUUGCUUAAAACACAUUAAGCCUUGGUUAAUUUAAUAGGAAGUUUAUUCUAGUACAUAAUUGACAAGUGACUUGGUGGGAGUGGGGUUUAAAUUGAAAGUUGGAACAGCAUGAUAUAUAAAAACUUAUGCAGCAUUAAAAUACUUGUAAAAACUUAACCAAAUUUUGUCUACAUAGCAGAAAUACAUAUAUUAGACGUCAAAGGAAUAAUUGGUAUUUUAUAUAAUUACAGAUAAUUGUGAUCUACAUUUUAAAAUAUCAAGAGAUCGCCUCAGUGCUUCUUCUCUUACUAUGGAGAGUUUUGCUUUUCUUUGGGCUGGAGGAAGGGCAUCUUAUGGUGUGUCAAAAGGCAAAGUCUGCUUUGAGAUGAAGGUAAAUGCAAUUUUGUGGUGUGCCCCCCACCAUUUUGGCUUUUUAAAUCAUACCUGAAAAAGCUACCGAGGAUUUUUUUAAAAACUGGCUAAAUUUUAAAGUACAAAUUUUUAAAAAAACUUCUAGCUAAUUGAAACCUUUCUUGCUCUGAGUUAAAAAGUGCUCACUUUUAAAGUUCUUAUAAAUAAAGGAUAGGGAGCAGGGAAAGAAGGAGAAUCGGGUGUCUUCUCCCCAAGUGAGAGAAGUCAGGAUUCAGGAGUUUAUCUUUCUUGAUUUACAGUUUGGUUUAAUGAUUUCACUUUUCAGGUUACAGAGAAGAUUCCUGUAAGGCAUUUAUAUACAAAAGAUAUUGACAUUCAUGAAGUUCGAAUUGGCUGGUCACUGACUACAAGUGGAAUGUUGCUUGGUAAAGUUUCCAUUUGAGUACUGAGGGCUCUGAUUAGAGUCUGAUUUCAGUUAAAGAUUUAGAAGGCUUUCUAACUAUAGUUAAACAUUCUGUUAGUAUUUUACAAAUGGGUAAUGCUAGCAUGUGGCAGACAAGCUGAAUUUUGGCUUUUCAGUGAUUUUUAAAAAAUGUAGGACAUGGUUAAAUUUUAUCCAUUACUCCGUAUUUAUGUGUAUAUAUUCAAGCUUGCUCUGGUAGAUAAGUUGAAGAUUGUUAGCUUAUUUGUACUCUACAUGUUAAGUAAUAAAAACAGUGGGGCUUUGGACUGUUUAAAAAACAUCAGUUUCAUGCAAGUUAUUUUCUUAGGUGAAGAAGAAUUUUCGUAUGGGUAUUCUCUAAAAGGAAUUAAAACGUGCAACUGUGAGACAGAAGAUUAUGGAGAGAAGUUUGAUGAAAAUGAUGUUAUUACAUGUUUUGCUGUAAGUUAUUGCUAAAAUUCGUUAUAUAAGUGAAAAUAUCGUUUAGAAAUUCUAAAAAAAUUAAGGUCUGGAUCAGCUUUUAGUAUGAUAGAUAAAAAUGCAUGCACUGGUUUUGGGUUAAAGACUAGUAGAAGUUGAAAACUGGAAAGGUAAGGGAAAUUUUUAAGGAAGCAUUUUGACAAAUUAUUAAACAUAAAAUUGGCCUGAAAAAUCUAAUCCGUCAUCUGGGGCAAUGUUUUUGAUUCUGUAUGUGUUUCAUUCUAAUGUUCAAAAAGCUGUUAGCAUUUAACCUAUAAAAAUAUUUUCUAAGGGUAAGCUUACUCCUUAUUUGAAUUUUGAUUUUUUUUUUUUUGGAAAGAUUGUAGGAAGCAGAUUCAAAUGUAAAUUUUUUUUCUUCUAUUUAACAGAACUUUGAAAAUGAUGAAGUAGAACUCUCCUAUGCCAAGAAUGGACAAGAUCUUGGCGUUGCCUUCAAAAUUAGUAAGGAAGUUCUUGCUGGACGACCACUCUUUCCGCAUGUUCUCUGCCAUAACUGUGCAGUUGAAUUUAAUUUUGGUCAGAAGGAAAAGCCAUAUUUUCCAAUACCUGAAGACUAUACUUUUAUCCAGAAUGUCCCCCUAGAGGAUCGAGUUAGAGGACCAAAGGGGCCUGAAGAGAAGAAAGAUUGUGAAGUGAGUCAUUUUAUUUUUUGUAAAUGUGGCAUUUGAAGAUUGCUUUUGUUUGACAAAAGUGUUUUAUUUGCUUUCAUAUGUUAUACCUGAUGCUCCCAGCCAAUGAUUUUUCAUUUGCCUUUAUAGAUAAUAGUAAACUUUCCAUGAACAAAUCUUGAUGUGUCAUCUAAAGAAUUUGGAUGUACUUAAAAAUGAAAUUUUUUCCACUUGCAGGUUGUUAUGAUGAUUGGCUUGCCAGGAGCUGGAAAAACUACCUGGGUUACUAAACAUGCAGCUGAAAAUCCUGGUAAAUACAACAUUCUUGGAACAAAUACCAUUAUGGAUAAAAUGAUGGUAAGUAAAAAUGUUGGGUCUGAUUUCAGCAUUUAAAGGAGGCCCAAAAAGGGGGAUAGUGGACCGCAGCUCAGUGAGAGUCCUUGCCACGAAUGUGCAAGGGUUUGGUUAUUGUCAAUCCCUAGCACUUAAAAACAAAAACAAAACAAAACAAAAACAACCUUAAUACUUAUUUAAGAAGACAUUGAAGGUAUUCUGUGUAACUCCCCCUCUUCUUAAAAUGUAUUUUGUUAAUAUAUUAGGGGGUGGGCAAAACAAAAUUAAUUAUUGGGUUACUUCAAUUAGCUCUCAAUCUGUAAGGCAAAUUGCAUUCUAGUUGAUAGGCUUAGUCAUCUUUUUCAUAGAUUUUUUUUUUUAAUUUUUUAGCAAUGAGAAGAAUUCAGUGGUCUUACAAUAUGAUAAAAAGCACUACUUUUUGAUAGCAAUAAGGGAAGUACAGUGUUCAAACAUUUAAAUUAUAAAGUGUUACUUGUUGCUUCCCAUAUAGAUCUAAGCUGGUAUUAAACACACGUGACUUGAUUCACAAAUUCAAAUGAAAAUUUUAAAUUUUAAAAAUAGGUGGCAGGUUUUAAAAAACAAAUGGCAGAUACUGGAAAACUGAACACACUGUUGCAGAGAGCCCCACAGUGUCUUGGAAAGUUUAUCGAGAUUGCUGCCCGCAAGAAACGAAAUUUCAUUCUGGAUCAGGUGAGUUGUAGCUUAGAAGUUGAAAAAAUGUUAACUGGUACUUGGUUUGGUAUGGAAUUAAUGUUUAAGGUUAUAAACUUAUUAUUUUUUUCCUUUACAAGACAAAUGUAUCUGCUGCUGCCCAGAGGAGAAAAAUGUGCCUGUUUGCAGGUUUCCAACGAAAAGCUGUUGUAGUUUGUCCAAAAGAUGAAGACUACAAGCAGAGAACACAGAAGAAAGCAGAAGUAGAGGGAAAAGACCUACCAGAACAUGCAGUCCUUAAAAUGAAAGGUGUGGAAUUGAAUUUUAUUGUUGCUGUCUUGUUUCAUUUUGUGAUCUGUAUCUGAGAAAUUAAUAUUUUGCAAGUACUUUUGUUUGAGGAAUUGCCAUUAACUCUUGGGAAUAUGAAUGUGUUUGGCUCAUUGUAAUUAUUUUCAGAAAAUUCAUUAAACCACUAAACCAUGAGUAGAUAUAGUAAUCUGUUAAAAAUUUUAAGCUAUUCAGGAAUAGGAAGUUUUAGGAUUAUGGAUACUUCCCGUGAGUUUCUGACUUAAUUUGAUUUUAUUCUUGGCAGGUAACUUUACUCUGCCAGAGGUGGCUGAGUGCUUUGAUGAAAUAACCUAUGUUGAACUUCAGAAGGAAGAAGCCCAAAAACUUCUGGAACAGUAUAAGGAAGAAAGCAAAAAGGCACUUCCACCAGAAAAGAAACAAAACACUGGCUCAAAGAAGAGCAAUAAAAACAAGAGUGGCAAGAACCAGUUUAACAGAGGUGGUGGCCAUAGAGGACGUGGAGGAUUCAAUAUGCGUGGUGGAAACUUCAGAGGGGGAGGUAAGUUAAAUUUGAAUAUUGUGUUUAAUUCAAGAUUGAAGUGGGAGAAUCUUGUAACUUGGGUCUGUAACUUAAACAGAAGUUUGUUUCUCAUUGAUCUAUGCUGCCAUCGAAGUAACUAAUUUAAAAUUUUAGUGUGAUUUGAUUCUAAACAAAACUAGGUUGUGUAAAUGCUUAAAAUUAUCUUUUAAUGCUUUUAUCUUAAAAUAUUUAUUUGUAACUAAAAUAAGAAAUGGGCCAGAAGAGGCCUAACUGGGUACCUACUUCCUUGCUUUUAGCUCCUGGGAAUCGUGGUGGAUAUAAUAGGCGGGGCAAUAUGCCACAGAGAGGUGGUGGUGGCGGCGGAAGUGGUGGAAUUGGCUAUCCAUAUCCUCGUGGCCCUGUUUUUCCUGGCCGAGGUGGCUACUCAAACAGAGGGAACUACAACAGAGGUGGAAUGCCCAACAGAGGGAACUAUAACCAGGUAAUGAUAAACAGGCACUGAUGGUCUGUAAUUUAGUCUGUAAAAUUAUAGGCUAAUGUUGAGGAACCUCAAUAAGCAACUAAGGAAAAUGGUGUGUUUGCAUUGAUGUGAGAAAAAAUUUAAUAUUGUAAUGGUAAAACAAAUUCAUUUAUUGGUUUUUCCAGGUAUACUAAGUAGCAAAAACAGGUGGAUUUUUACAAAGAUUUAAAAAUCUAUGAGAAACCUGCAGAAGGGUACCUAGGGCUAUUUCCCCAAAUUAAUGUCUAGCAAGUUGUCCAUUUCUGCCCACUCCCACUUCCCAAUCACGAUCCCUGCAGGCAUGAUAAAUUCUUGGUUAAGACUUAAAAGAUUUUUUUUCCUUUUUGUAGAACUUCAGAGGACGAGGAAACAAUCGUGGCUAUAAAAAUCAAUCUCAGGGCUACAACCAGUGGCAGCAGGGUGUAAGUAAUUUCUUACAUGAUUACAUUAAUUGUAUUUUGAGUAAAAAUCAGUCUCGAAAAGAUCUUGUCCAGGGAUUGAAGUGUUUGUAAACCUUAAUAAGGCAAGGUAUGAAUUGUGUUGUAGUCCAUAAAUAGGUUUGAGUUUGCCAUAACUUACUAUUUUUAACGAAGUAAUAUUUUAAUAUACAGUUCUUUGCUAGCAUUAAUUGUGUAAACUAACCAAGUCAUGAUGUGUUUCUUUUUGUAAUGUGUAUUGAUAAAUAAUGGGAUAAUAAAACUAAAUCUGGUUUGAUAGAAAUCAGAGGUAUGACAAGUAUAAUUUAUUUCCAGCAUUUACUCUGAAUUAGAUUCAUUGUCAUUUCCUAAAAGCAAUUUGAGUGGCUUAUUGAUGUUUUUUCUUUAAAAAAAAAAUUUUCUCUUACAGCAAUUCUGGGGUCAGAAGCCAUGGAGUCAGCAUUAUCACCAAGGAUAUUAUUGAAUACCCAAAUAAAACGAACUGAUACAUAUUUCUCCAAAACCUUCACAAGAAGUCGACUGUUUUCUUUAGUAGGCUAACUUUUUAAACAUUCCACAAGAGGAAGUGCCUGCGGGUUCCUUUUUUAGAAGCUUUGUGGGUUGAUUUUUUUUUUCUUUUCUUUUUUGUACAUUUUUAAUUGCAGUUUUAAAGUGAAUCGUAAGAGAACCUCAGCAUUGUGCACGAUAAGAGAAUGUGUCAGUAUUUCAGGGUUCUACAUUUUAUCUGUAAAAUGUGACUUUUUUUUUUAUCACAACAAAAGUAAAAUGUUGCUUUGUACCUGGUGUCUUUUAUUAAGAAUUUACUCCCCUAUUUCUCACAGAGAAUAACAGUCGGGAGUCAUUGUCACAAUAUAAUAGAAAUGUUAGCAACCAGAUUCAUGUAAGGACUAAGUGGUCCUCAUGAAUUGCAUUAAGACUCUGUACUGCUCAAUAUUACACUCCAUCCUCUCUCUAGUUUGCUGGGUAGUAGUGGAGGGGAUAAGCUAAAUAGUAAUUUCCAAUAAAGACUGGGAAGGCUUUUUCAGUUUAAAUGACAAUGGAAUUGGCAUAAUUGGGAAUGAAGCUAAAACUUGAAACCAACAUGGAGAAGAUGGAGUGUAUGUAGAAGGGCUGUUAAAAAUGUAAAACUUGGUUGCAUUAUUUGUGGAGGCUCAAACUUGUGAAGGUUAAAAUACCAUAAUUUUUCCAUUUGUUCUGCAUUUUGAUUCUGAAAAGAAAGCUGGCUUUGCCCAUUUCUUAUUAAAAAACUUGUUGUAAAUCCAGUUGUCUAAUGGGAUCUAUAUGAAGUUAGCUAUGUCUGUAUGCCCUUCUCCCACAAAAUACUGUAUAACUAGUGUGCUUGUAGUAGUUAACUCCACCAUCUUUGUAAGCUAAUGAAAUUGUGAGUCACCCAUUUAUAUCUUAAUUUUUAAUCAUGUCAGUUCUUGAAUGGGUAUCUCCUUAGCCUGCUGAUUUCUUUUUCUUUCUAAAGAAAGUGGGUGGAGAAAUUAAUUUAGACGUUUGUUUGCAAUAAAAAGAAUUCAUUUUACUCUUGUUUUGGGAUUCUCGCCAUCAAGGUUCAAAAUCCCUUUAUACAACUCCCAAGAGGAGAAAUUUUAAGUGUGUGCUUUCUGGACAGCUUAUUCUUUACUCUGUACUUGGAACAUUUAGGUUUUAAAAACUUAAAUGUGUACUGAUGAUUGAUAAUAUGAAGUAAAGUUUGAAUUCUUCCCUUCCCCUCCCCCCCAGACGGCUUUUAACAUUUAAUGAGGGGAAAAGGUACUGGCUGGGAGAAGUUAACGCUCACUGUAUCAUCUUUAUGAAAUGCUAACGGCUGUCCUCAACUGAUAAUUUUAUAUACAUGUUUAUGAUACAUGAAACUCCAGGAACAGUUGCUUUUAGAAGCCAUCAUGUAAGCCAGUUGUUGAUUUCACUACUACACAACACUGCUAACUUAACUGUAGCUAUGUGAUAACAUUAGAUCCCCUAAUUGUAAUUUUAUUGGGUUUGCACAGAACACUUAAUCUUCUAAAGGACCCUCACUGUGAAGUGAGGAAUCAGGAGUCAAACUGUAGAACUAAAAUAUGACUUCAGUGUAGUUUUAUUUUUUAUUUUUGUGUUUUAGGCUGUUUCUGGUAAGUUCAGGUUUGCUAUAUUUGAGUGUUUAGGAUUUUGUUUUAGCCACUGUAAAAUCAGAUUUUUAAACUUCAUUUCAUACUCCUAGAGAUUUUUUUGGUACAAGUUAGUUUUUAGAUGGUGAUGUAGGUUCACUUGAAAUUUUUGGGAUAAAGGUUUGCUCACAAUAGAGAUAAUUAACAAUAUGAAGUAGGUUUUUGUAUUUUUAGCAAUUACUGCUAGCAAUCACUGGCACGAGUUAACUUUUCAAUAUACAUUGUGAAGGAAGAUUGCAUACUUAAUCAAUGAGGAAGAUUCCAACUUUAAUGCUCAUCAGUUUAGGUGUCCUACAGUUUAUUUGUGCCUUUCAAAAAGUCUUGAGUAUACCUUGUAAUUAAAUUGCCUAAAUUAAUAUCCGCAGCAAGAAAAAAUGGUCAGAUAAUACUAGGCAGGCCACCAUAGCUCCAAAAUUUAGGAAGGAGUAGGGACAGAUGGGAGAAAAAAAUGCUGUCUGGAUAUGUGUUAAACUUCUAAGAAGCAAUUUCAUGAUUAGGGUUGUUUAUACUUGUAUGAAAAAUAAUCUUAGUAGUUAAAUUUGGAAAAGGGGAUGUACCAACUAGGCAAGCAAAGGGGAGGAAAAUAGGUAAGUUAAUUUCAAGAAAUGUCAAGUUUUGGCAGAUAUAAGACUUUGUCCUUCACCCCUCCUAGUUCCUGCCCCCAACCCAUGGCAAUACAAAAAAUAAAAAACCUCAAACAACACUUAGUUCUGAACAAAUCCUGACUUGGGGGAAAGCUUGACCUUGCUUUUGGUUCAAGGAGUGCUUUUAUGUAGCAAGUUUUGCAGCUCUUAGACAGUGAUGUGUUGAGCCAAAAAUGCAGGGGGUGGGGAAACAGCUCAGUGGAAUAGAGCACUUGUCUUGCAUGUGCAGGGUCCUAGGUUCCAUCCCAGAACCCUUAAAAAAAUGUUCAUAAACUGGUACUACAAAAAUAUAGACAUUUAUAGGGAAAAAGAAAAACCAAUAAUGCAAGAUAGAAAACAACUGUCAGCAUAGAUUUCCUUGGUAGGUUAUAUAAUCGUGUCUAGCCUUUGAAGGGCUCUGGCUCUGACCUUUACAAGGGCAGUGACCAACUUACAGCCUUAGUGGCCUUGUGUCCAGACAGCAAAAUAAAAUCCUAUAAUGGAAGAUUUCAACGGCAAAUGACAAGGGAACAGUCUUAAAAAAUUUGAAAGAAUUUUUUUUGUUUUUUAAAGAAACGUAGUUAGUAGUAUUUUGAGAAUUUUUUUCAUCUGGGUAUUUUAUAUUCAUGGAUACACUUUAAAAAUUUGUUUGUUAGGUGAAUUGGAUAACAUUGUCUAUAAAGUUCUGUAAACUUAACACGUUUUUAUCUCAGGACCUUGUUUAAUUGGCUCCAUUGCACAAAAACAAAGUAUAGCACCUUUUAAGCUUAUUGGCAUACACUUGGAUAAAGACUUAAUUGUAGAACUGAGAAUUUUUUUUUGUCAAAACUAGAAUGAGUUUUAAACAACUUUUCCAUAUAUAAUUACAAUCUUGUUUUCUAAAAGAGAAUGAAACUUGUACCCAAGAAUAAUUCAGUUAGUCACUCCCUAGUCUCCUAUCAGAUGUUUCCUCUGGGAAGAUAAUGCAGUAUUGUUUCUGGAGUUUUUUUUUUUUUUUCCUGUAAAGUUUUUGAGAUGGUUUGAGUCUAAAAGUCCAUAAUUCUGCAACUGAGAUUGAUUGAGGUAGAUCUUGAAAAACUGGGUUUAAGUUUUAAUGUUUUUAGUAAUAAAAGCAAGGAUAUAUAUGUUAAGGGUUGGCAAUACAUUAUAAUACCUAUGCACUGGAACUCACCUAAGCAUAAAUUAUAAAGGAACCGUUAGUAAUUUCUAUUGGCAAUAAAAACUAAUUAAAUUAUGAAUUGCCUAAGUUUACCUAAAAUUAGCUCAGUAGAACUGCAGUACUCUUCAUAUGUGGAUGACUUUUAGCUUGGAUUGGGGAGAGGCACAGUUGUCAUUCCUCCUAAGUUUUUAUAUUAAAAAAAAUAGAUUUAGCCAGGCUACUGCUUUUUUUUUUUUACUUUUUAAUACUCAGUUUUUUUUUGCUUAAUACUGGCACUAUUAACAGGUACCUUUGUAAGAGAAGCAUUAAAAACACUAUGCAUCAAACUAGUACUGGAGUCACCUUUGUUUUAACCUUGGUAUUAAAAAUAAGCCCUUUGAGAACUUAGAAGUGAACUGUAGUACUUUCUGAAGUAAUAUUCAUCCCUUAAUAUUGGGUAGACAAACAUUAAAGCUAGAGGUCACCAGCUACCCUUUUGCUAAGUAUAUACUAGUUUAUUAGGUGUUAACACAUCAGUCUCAGAUUGUGCAAAACAGGACCAUGGGAAAUAACAGAAGUAGUUUGGCACUUAACAUUAAGAACAUUUUCACAUCUUUGCUCCUUGGCUAAAAAUAUAGGUGAUUUAAGUUUGACUCGUUUCUCUAGGAACUUAUUUAUUUAGAUCUAUAUAGGUUGGAGAUUGAAAGGAUUAUAUUAAUAAAGCUAACCUUGAAUCAAUCAUAACCCCUUUGUAUCUUAUGGGGUUCCCAUUGUUGAUAAAAUAGCACUGAAGAUAAGUGAUAGGUUAGGGCAUCAGUAAUCCUUGCUUGGUUAGGUGAGCUUUUGGCAUAACUUAGUUAUUAGAGCAAGGAACUUAAUAAUAGCCUAAUUUCCUUUAGAAUAUAAACCUAAGGUUUCUUUUUCAUGCCAAGAUUCAGCCUACAUUUGAGGUAUGGGGUUUUGGCUUAACAUCUUAAUCUGUGGGUACAAGAAAAUUUACUGUAGUUGAAAGAGAUGAGGUAAUGACAGAUGAGGCUAGCCUCUGGAAAAAUGUCUUAUAAAGGCUUAGUUCCUAGGUUGCACUGUUAAAAUCACCAUGCUUGGUGAUGGUAUAAUCAUGAGCAUGUUCUGCUUGAUAAUAUGCAGUACUGAAAGUUACUCAGGGAUUGCAGGCUAAAAAGCUGAAAGCAUCUGAUAUCUACCAAGUUACUGGUUUUUUUUUUUUUUUUUGUAGUGUUUUUUUUUCUAUUCAGUCCCAUUUCAUUGUACUAUGGGAAACAGAAUCAGUUUUGCCUAAUAAAAUGUAUGUGGCAAGCACUUGAAGCAUUGCUACAAAUGGAUAUUAGCCAAAAAAUUUAAAUGAAACCACCACCAACAAAGAGGGCUAGAAUAUACAAAAGUGUGAUGUAAAUAGUGUUAAAGCCUACAGAGAAGACGAAAUUAAUACUUAAUGAUCAGAAAUUAUUUGGCAGUUUCUAAAGGUACCUAGUUAAGAGACAGUCAUGGACAAGUACAAUAAUAAAAGGUUCCAACGUACUUUAUUUUUUAUUUUGGAAAAGUAUAAUAAAGAAAAAAAUGCUGAUUUAAAUUUCAUCUCCUUUUCCUUAGUCUGUCCAUGUGAAUGUGCUGUGUGGAAGAGUAAAAGGGCCCAACUAAAUGUGUUCCAGUGAUUCUAAUAGGUAUUCCAAAUUAAUUGAUGCUUGUAUAUUUAACAGUUGUUAUGUUAGGAUUCUGGGAUCACCCUAAAAUAAAACUUACUAAAAGAUGGGGAAGAGCAACUGGUAACCUUGAUGUACAGGUUAUAUAACAUUUCCCAGUUUCUCCCUUGAAUACCUGAAGUGAAAUACUUGGUAUUCUCUUUGCAGUCGAUGGUCCUCUUGCAUAGGUUUACAGGAAUACAUGCAAAGACCCAAGUCCUUUCCUUCUGUUAAACUUUUUAUGUCUCCCUACUUGCAGCAGUUUAUUUCCAGAGUUCAAAUGUGAAAUAAGUUUAGGAUAUUUUUCUGUCCUUAGAUUCCCCAAAUCUUUGUUCUUUUUAUACUAAAUACACAAAUAUACUAGUUUUAGGAAAACAGAUUUGAGGUCCUGUUUGGAUAAUCAAUGAUAUAAAUUCAUAUUUCAAAAUGUAAAAUCAGCUUAGAAAACUAAAUUUAGAACUUAAGAUGAAGAAAUGGGGAAGACUUGGUAUGAGUUUUCAUUAUGCCAGUCCAGAGCAUAUAAUAUACUGUUGUAAGUCUGAAGUUUAAAUUAAAGUCUUGAUAAGCUUAGAGGAAAUUAUUUUUCUCCACUAUGUUCUCCAGAAAAAUGUCUUUAGGUGAAAUGAGAGGACUUGGAUACAGGUCUGAUAACAAUGUCACUAUCAGGAUUUGCUCAAUGCAAAACAGCUCUACUCUAAAAAGUUGACCUAAUGGCUUAUAAAGAGCAGGCACCUCAAGGUUUCAUGACCGUUUGUUUACAUGAGGAAAAACAAAACUAUAUAAAAAAAUAAACUUUUUUCAAAAAUGAGCUUUGAAUUUAUGUGGUAAGGCACGUUUUAUUUCACAUGACUUCAUGGUAUAGUGCAAGAAACAUUACUAUGGAAAUUCAUCCUUUAAGAAAUCAGUAUAUGCAGAAAAUGAUGACUUUGAGAUCCCCUAAGGGGGUGCCAUAUGAUAGCUGGUUUAUUAGAAUUUCUAAAAACAUGGUGGAAGAGAUGCCACUUUUUAGGUUGACCUACACUUAAAGUGAACAAAAGAAAUCUUUUGUCUAUUAAUAUAAUCUGAUAAUCUUGAGAUACGACUACUCAGUGUCAUCCUUAUUCUAGAAAAAUAGAAGAAUAAAGUGAAUGCAAUGGUUGAAAAGCACUCAAAAAUAUUUGAAACACGUUGUAGUGCUCACAUUAUAAGCUUCAAAAUGGAAUUCUGAAAAAAUGUCCUCAUAAUGUAAUUUUUCUUGUUCCAGCAGCUUUCCCUUACUAAGAAAAAGUUUUAAAGCAUUUAAAAAAUGGAACUUAAUGUACAUAAUAAGCUGUGUAAAAAAUACCAGUAUUUGGGUGGUAGUGGAUAUAUUGACACAUUGAACUGCUAAUUACUGGACUAAUUUUUAAGUUGCUUCCAAAAGUUAUUUCAUUCUAGAGGACCAUUAUAAAACAGAAUUGUAGCAAUUGUUUUUAAUUUUUCUACUUUCCUCAUUAAGGUCUGCUUUACCCAAAGAAUAGUGUAUAUUUUAACAUGACUUAAAGGGGUGAGUUUACCCCAUCACAGAUUUUUAUCUGGGAAUAGAAGGAUUCAAACCCUAUUUGAUCCCUAGCUCUUUGCUGAAAAGUGCAUAAACAGGAAUCCUGAAUUUAUUAUAUAGACCUCCUCGCAUUAUGUAAUCGAAGCAAAGGGAAACCAGCGAUGGAGUUAGAGGUACGUAGACUAAAGAGAUGCUUGCAAAUACAAUAAUGGUUCUAGAGUAGUCAAGAUUUCUUGUUGCCGAACUCAGCAUAAAUCACAAGUUCAGAGAAAAACUUAAAAUUAAUUUAAAAGCCCUGAGGUCCUUUUACUGAGAUGGAAAAGCAAGCAGUCCAGCCAAAAGGAGGGGUGAGGGAAGGGGGGAAACACAUAAAUCAUAUCUUAGAAAGUGUCAAAGCAAGUAUAAUAGAUAAGCCAUGAAAAAUUUUCAAAACUAAUAACUGUAAUUCUAUUUUAAUCAGCUAUUUAGCUGGUACCCACUGCUAUAUCACCUAGUGUGAAAUUUUGGAAUUACGGAGCAAUGGAGGUGCGCUGGAAGCUCCCAAAUGGGCGUGGAAGGUAGGUUGUUUUGAGUUUAAUAAAAUUUGCAGUAUGUGAAAGUAUGGAUUGGGUAUAAGUCUUGAAUCCUACCUGUUGGUGAACACUUAGUUCAUUUACUUUUUUGUGCCAUGUACUUUAGGAAUGUAAUAGGAAACACUGUAGCACAUACCAGUGACCCAAUGAAAGUGCCUACUCCAAGAAUUAAAGCACAAAAUAUGUGAAAAGCUAAAGGAAAAAGUGACUAUGAUUCCCAGAUGGUGUAAGCAAAUGAAAAAAAAAAAAGUAGAUCCAGAAAGGCAUUGAAAGUGAAAAAUUUCUGAUUAGAGACAUGGAUUAAUUUGUAAUGGUCAGUGUGACAGAUUUGGCAAAACUUCAGUUAGGAUUUGAAGAUUAUUGACUGAAGUAGGAGUGUCAGGACCAUUUUGUAACAUUUUAGUAGUUCAAGAAGAAAAAUGAUCAUGUAAAUGUAUGUAAUGGCAUUUUAAAAGUAAUUCAACUAAAUUAAAUAUUUUAUUAUAACUUUGUUUUUAAUCCAGGUCUCCAGUUUGUGCAGGCAUUCUGCUGUGAAAAUGAACUGACCUUAUUUAAUGGUGAAGUCAUUGGAAAUUUUACCAAUCGAGAGGUUUCUCUUUCAGGGUAAGAUGUAAUUGAAGUAUGAUAGAACUAGGACUUGACUUAAUCCAGCUGCCCAAUUAUACAGGUUAUUUAUGUUAGUAAACUGAAGCUGUGAGCAUAAAUAGCUGCCCACCCAGUUUGUUAAAUAUCAGGUUACUGAUUAGUGCUCAUCUUAAAACAUGGGGAACUCAUCACUGAAUUUUUAACAAUUUGGUCAUGGCCAGUUCAAAUAAUGUAGAAUGUUCGUUUGUGCCAGAUUUAUGGAGGUAGAUCAGAAAGGCAUUGAAGUGGUCAGAUUUUACAAGCUCCUUUCCAGGAACUUUCCUUUAUUAAUUAUCCAGGUCCUCCUCAGAAUGUGUUUGACAUCACACAGCCUCUGCACCCUAAGUACUGUAACCUUGAUAGCCACAAGGUGGGGAGGGAGAUCUUUCUGAACAGAACUAAAGUAAUCACACCUUUCCUUUGAAAAAGAAGUAGAACAAGAUAACUAAUACUUUAAAGACAUCUGAGUUCACUGGUGUCUCCCCCUCCAAACCACCCUCACGUUUCUUUAGUAUUUAAAGAAACUGUCAAGCUGUUUAUUUAAAUAGGUAUUU